rnacentral:rRNA from 1 species
ACUCCUACGGGAGGCAGCAGUAGGGAAUCUUCCACAAUGGACGAAAGUCUGAUGGAGCAACGCCGCGUGAACGAUGAAGGCUUUCGGGUCGUAAAGUUCUGUUGUAAGGGAAGAACAAGUGCCGCAGGCAAUGGCGGCACCUUGACGGUACCUUGCGAGAAAGCCACGGCUAACUACGUGCCAGCAGCCGCGGUAAUACGUAGGUGGCAAGCGUUGUCCGGAAUUAUUGGGCGUAAAGCGCGCGCAGGCGGCCUCUUAAGUCUGAUGUG